UACGUAGGGUGCAAGCGUUAAUCGGAAUUACUGGGCGUAAAGCGUGCGCAGGCGGUUUUUUAAGUCUGUUGUGAAAUCCCCGGGCUCAACCUGGGAAUGGCGAUGGAGACUGCAAGGCUAGAGUUUGGCAGAGGGGGGUAGAAUUCCACGUGUAGCAGUGAAAUGCGUAGAUAUGUGGAGGAACACCGAUGGCGAAGGCAGCACCCUGGGUCAAAACUGACGCUCAUGCACGAAAGCGUGGGGAGCAAACAGG
rnacentral:rRNA from 1 species